CCCUUAGAUGUUCUGGGCCGCACGCGUGCUACACUGAGUGGAUCAGCGGGUCAGGUUGCGCGAAAGUGUUUCCUAAUCUUUAAAUCCGCUCGUGAUGGGGAUUGACGGUUGCAAUUUUCCGUCAUGAACGAGGAAUACCUUGUAAGCGCGGGUCAUCAUCCCGCGCUGAAUACGUCCCUGCCCUUUGUACACACCGCCCGUCGCUCCUACCGAUUGAGUGGUCCGGUGAGGCUUUGGGAUCUGAGCGGAAAGAGCGUUUCGCUGUUUCUGCCCGGAAAACUCAGCCGAACCUUAUCAUUUAGAGGAAGGAGAAGUCGUAACA
rnacentral:rRNA from 1 species